rnacentral:tRNA from 1 species
UAGCUCAGUCCGUAGAGCGCUCCACUGGAAAUGGGGAGGUCCCUGGUUCAGGACCAGG